AUUGUAUCCACGAUUGGGGAAUUUUCCGCAAUGGGCGAAAGCCUGACGGAGCAACGCCGCGUGAGGGAGGAAGGCCUUCGGGUUGUAAACCUCUUUUCUCAAGGAAGAAGUACUGACGGUACUUGAGGAAUAAGCCUCGGCUAACUCCGUGCCAGCAGCCGCGGUAAGACGGAGGAGGCAAGCGUUAUCCGGAAUUAUUGGGCGUAAAGCGUCCGUAGGUGGUUAUUCAAGUCUUUUGUUAAAUAGUGGAGCUUAACUCCAUAGAGGCGGAAGAAACUGAGUAACUUGAGUGCGGUAGGGGUAGAGGGAAUUCCAGGUGUAGCGGUGAAAUGCGUAGAUAUCUGGAAGAACACCAGUGGCGAAGGCGCUCUACUGGGCCGUAACUGACACUGAGGGACGAAAGCUAGGGGAGCGAAAGGGAUUAGAUACCCCUGUAGUCAAUCGUGGAUACAAU
rnacentral:rRNA from 1 species